GAUUCACUAUGCAGGUCAGGCUGGCCUUGAACUCACUCUGUAGCCCAGGCUGGCCUUGAAUAAUCAGCAAUCCUCCUGCCUCAGCCUCCCAAGUGCUGGGAUUACAGGCAUGUGCCACCAUGUCUG
rnacentral:miRNA from 1 species